rnacentral:rRNA from 1 species
CCUACGGGGCGCAGCAGUCGAGAAUCAUUCACAAUGGGGGAAACCCUGAUGGUGCGACGCCGCGUGGGGGAAUGAAGGUCUUCGGAUUGUAAACCCCUGUCAUGUGGGAGCAAAUUAAAAAGAUAGUACCACAAGAGGAAGAGACGGCUAACUCUGUGCCAGCAGCCGCGGUAAUACAGAGGUCUCAAGCGUUGUUCGGAAUCACUGGGCGUAAAGCGUGCGUAGGCUGUUUCGUAAGUCGUGUGUGAAAGGCGCGGGCUCAACCCGCGGACGGCACAUGAUACUGCGAGACUAGAGUGAUGGAGGGGGAACCGGAAUUCUCGGUGUAGCAGUGAAAUGCGUAGAUAUCGAGAGGAACACUCGUGGCGAAGGCGGGUUCCUGGACAUUAACUGACGCUGAGGCACGAAGGCCAGGGGAGCGAAAGGGAUUAGAUACCCUAGUAGUC